UGCGUAGGCGGGUCUAUAAGUCAGUGGUGAAAUCCUCGAGCUCAACUCGGGAACUGCCAUUGAUACUGUAGACCUUGAGUAUAGAUGAGGUGGGCGGAAUGUAUCAUGUAGCGGUGAAAUGCAUAGAUAUGAUACAGAACACCGAUUGCGAAGGCAGCUCACUAAACUAUAACUGACGCUGAGGCACGAAAGCGUGGGGAGCGAACAGGAUUAGAUACCCUGGUAGUCC
rnacentral:rRNA from 1 species